ensembl:snoRNA
GCUACCUGAGUAUUUCAUUAAACAUAUUCUUUCUUAUACAGCCAGACACUAGGCAGUAAUAAAGUUUUUCCCUUGAAAUCGCUUUUGAUGAUACGCUGUUUUUUCAUGGCAUAUCAUCAUUAAAAGUGGCUAAAAAA